rnacentral:rRNA from 1 species
CCGGCGAGUGGCGGACGGGUGAGUAAUGCAUCGGAAUGUGCCCAGUAGCGGGGGAUAACCACUCGAAAGAGUGGGUAAUACCGCAUAUUCUCUACGGAGGAAAGAGGGGGAUCUUCGGACCUCUCACUACUGGAGCAGCCGAUGUCGGAUUAGCUAGUUGGUGGGGUAAAGGCUCACCAAGGCAACGAUCCGUAGCUGGUUUGAGAGGACGACCAGCCACACUGGGACUGAGACACAGACCAGACUCCUACGGGAGGCAGCAGUGGGGAAUUUUGGACAAUGGGGGGAACCCUGAUCCAGCCAUCCCGCGUGUAUGAUGAAGGCCUUCGGGUUGUGAAGUACUUUUGACGGGGAAGAAACAACUCCGGCUAAUACCCGGAGCCAAUGACGGUACCUGUAGAAUAAGCACCGGCUAACUACGUGCCAGCAGCCGCGGUAAUACGUAGGGUGCAAGCGUUAAUCGGAAUUACUGGGCGUAAAGGGUACGCAGGCGGCUAGGAAAGAAGGAUGUGAAAUCCCAGGGCUCAACCUUGGAACUGCAUUCUUAACUGCCUAGCUAGAGUAUGUCAGAGGGGGGUGGAAUUCCACGUGUAGCAGUGAAAUGCGUAGAUAUGUGGAGGAAUACCGAUGGCGAAGGCAGCCCCCCUGGGAUAAUACUGACGCUCASGUACGAAAGCGUGGGGAGCAAACAGGAUUAGAUACCCUGGUAGUCCACGCCCUAAACGAUGUCAACUAGCUGGAGGGGUCAAUAGGCCUUAGUAGCGCAGCUAACGCGUGAAGUUGACCGCCUGGGGAGUACGGUCGCAAGAUUAAAACUCAAAGGAAUUGACGGGGACCCGCCCAAGCGGUGGACGAUGUGGAUUAAUUCGAUGCAACGCGAAAACCCUUACAUACGCUUGACACGUCUGGAAGAUUUUAGAGAUAGGAUUGUGCCCGCAAGGGAACCGGAACACAGGUGCUGCAUGGCUGUCGUCAGCUCGUGUCGUGAGAUGUUGGGUUAAGUCCCGCAACGAGCGCAACCCUUGUCACUAGUUCAUACGCAAGAGCACUCUAGUGAGACUGCCGGUGACAAACCGGAGGAAGGUGGGGAUGACGUCAAGUCCUCAUGGCCCUUAUGCGUAGGGCUUCACACGUCAUACAAUGGUCGGGACAGAGGGUCGCCAACCCGCGAGGGGGAGCUAAUCCCAGAAACCCGAUCGUAGUCCGGAUCGCAGUCUGCAACUCGCCUGCGUGAAGUCGGAAUCGCUAGUAAUCGCGGAUCAGAAUGCCGCGGUGAAUACGUUCCCGGGUCCUGUACACACCGCCCGUCACACCAU